rnacentral:rRNA from 1 species
AAACCGUGUACGUACAAGCAGUGGGAGCCUCUUUAUGGGGUGACUGCGUACCUUUUGUAUAAUGGGUCAGCGACUUAUAUUCUGUAGCAAGGUUAACCGAAUAGGGGAGCCGAAGGGAAACCGAGUCUUAACUGGGCGUUAAGUUGCAGGGUAUAGACCCGAAACCCGGUGAUCUAGCCAUGGGCAGGUUGAAGGUUGGGUAACACUAACUGGAGGACCGAACCGACUAAUGUUGAAAAAUUAGCGGAUGACUUGUGGCUGGGGGUGAAAGGCCAAUCAAACCGGGAGAUAGCUGGUUCUCCCCGAAAGCUAUUUAGGUAGCGCCUCGUGAAUUCAUCUCCGGGGGUAGAGCACUGUUUCGGCAAGGGGGUCAUCCCGACUUACCAACCCGAUGCAAACUGCGAAUACCGGAGAAUGUUAUCACGGGAGACACACGGCGGGUGCUAACGUCCGUCGUGAAGAGGGAAACAACCCAGACCGCCAGCUAAGGUCCCAAAGUCAUGGUUAAGUGGGAAACGAUGUGGGAAGGCCCAGACAGCCAGGAUGUUGGCUUAGAAGCAGCCAUCAUUUAAAGAAAGCGUAAUAGCUCACUGGUCGAGUCGGCCUGCGCGGAAGAUGUAACGGGGCUAAACCAUGCACCGAAGCUGCGGCAGCGACACUAUGUGUUGUUGGGUAGGGGAGCGUUCUGUAAGCCUGCGAAGGUGGCCUGUGAGGGUUGCUGGAGGUAUCAGAAGUGCGAAUGCUGACAUAAGUAACGAUAAAGCGGGUGAAAAGCCCGCUCGCCGGAAGACCAAGGGUUCCUGUCCAACGUUAAUCGGGGCAGGGUGAGUCGACCCCUAAGGCGAGGCCGAAAGGCGUAGUCGAUGGGAAACAGGUUAAUAUUCCUGUACUUGGUGUUACUGCGA